GCUCGAAAGUAGACACGGAUUACUUACAAUGGGCCUUCGCACUCACCACCGCUAGUGGAUGUCUCUACGUCAUUUCAGGAAUUCUUCUCUUUGUCAGCAUGUGUUCCAAAUAAUUGUCGAAUUCAUGUAGUUUUUAGACUUUUUUUUUACCUAAAUUUCUGUCAGAAGUUCUCUAUUGCGCGUCAACGAUGUGCGAUUUAAGUGGCGGGAAAUACAAAAUGCACAUCGCACUUUGUAUAUUAUGACUAGACAACCCUGAGCAGAUUUUUAUGUACUUUAAUUGCUUACUUCAUUUUUACGUUUUAUAUGUUAAAUGUAUUUUUUUACACAGCUGAUGUACUUUGAUAGCAUUCUACGUGUUUGUAUAUUUGUACGGAAAUGUAAUAUCAGUAUCAAUAAAUGUUGUAUAAAUAUCAUGACAUCAGCAAUAAAUUUAAUAUACUCUUC
rnacentral:misc_RNA from 1 species